rnacentral:lncRNA from 1 species
GAGUUCUGAUGGUGGCCCAGUGAGUCAAUCCUUUAUUUGUAUCAAAUCGUCAUCAAACCCCAGCAUACUAUUAUUCUUGCUAAAGGAAGCAAGUUUUGGUGGACCGGCAAGCGAAGAAUUCCUCGAAUGCAAAUCUUGCCUGCCACAGCCUUCCUUAUUCUUCAUCGUCUCUUUCACAAAGGAAUCAAUUUCUUCUGCUACUUCUCCAAGUCUGGAUAGUUCCACCAAGAAAUAUCAUGAUAGAGCUCCAAGCCCCAGUCAAAUAUAUGAAGCUAGGCCAUCAAAAUCUGGAAGGCAGGAAAUGAUUUUUGAAGUAAAUUGACAGCCACACGGGAGGUAAAAGCAGAAUUUCCCCAACGAAAUUUGAUCUAAAAUGCGGAUUUCGAUUAUGUCUUCAGCCUGAUAAGCUGCAUCUCUAAUUUUUCCCUCCAAACACUCCACAGAUUCACUGCUUUUGGAAGAAUCCUCAAAAAAAUUUAGCAAGAAGCUGAUUUUUUUCCUGAAGAGAUUCAAUUUGUUGCUUGUAAUGAAGAAUCAAGAAUCGAUCAGGAUGCAGGAGUUGCUCUCGAAUCUGAUUAAGAGAAACAAGAGCACAAAAACAAAACUGAAACACAACAAAAGCAGUUGGAUUUCCUCUAGUUACAAUGCCCCUCUUCUCUUUAUCUAAAUUUUCUUCCUCCUCCCCAAUUUUUUCACUUUUGGGAUAUUGAAUUUUGCUGCUGAAAUGUAUUCCUCUCAAACUCUACGCUGAUGGGAAGUGCGUAUUAUUGGUUUAUAAAGAACAUUGUGAGGUCAGUUUUGCCAUGAAUUUGCGAGAGGGUGUGUAUUAAAAAAUUGGAGUUAAUUAAAUGAGUGGCACUGAGCAUUGUUAAUUGGUUUGCUAUUUGCACACUAAAAAUUAAAUGAUUAUCCAAAGCUUGUCGAAACAUUUAUUAAUUUACCCAUCCAUCACCAUAGCCCUUAUCAUCCAUACAGGUGGACAAAUACAUUUACGUGAAAAACUGAUGUGGCAUACAUAAUGGGUUAAUUGUACCACUUCAUCAGAAAUUUUUUAUUUUAUAGAUAACAAAAAAAAUGUUAAAUUAAAAAAUGUUUCUUCCUUAAAUCACUUCUUCUCCCAAAUCACGCCAUUCCUCCUUAGACUUGGAAGCCAAACAAGGUGCCGCCAUGACCACGACUCCACCUCUGAAGCCUCGACGAUGAUUCAACACACAAAAACCCACUCAAAGUUUAGCAACAUUUUAUGAAUUUUAUCAGACCCUAAUUUCAAUAGCAAAUGAAAAAGAUUUGAUAUGGGAAUUGGAAAAAGAAUUAUUGGGGGCUGAUGAAUUCAGUACAACUCUUGAGAAAUUGGUUGAAUUGAGAAUGAAGGUUCUUCAUGAAGCAAAUGGUGAGGAUUUUAGGAUUUGAGAGCCCAAUUGGUGUAAAAUAAUUUAAAAUUUUCGUACCCAGUAUGGAAGUACCCACUAUUGUUCAAGGAGUCUAGCUAAAUGGCCGCUCGUUCCCUCUUCCUCACUCUCACUGGAUACUGCACCCCCCCNNNNNNNNNNNNNNNNNNNNNNNNNNNNNNNNNNNNNNNNNNNNNNNNCCAAAUCAUAUAUGUGUGUAUUCUUCUGGGCUCUUAACAUGUUAUUUUUGUGUGUGUAGAAAUGCACAGAGGGAGGAUAAAAGUUCAUUCCGAUUCUUGCUUUCAACACAUCAAGUUGCCUAUCAAAUUCAAGAUCCCUCCACCGCAAUCCAUGA